CAAAGAUAAUUUUUACCAGUGACAAUUCCGAUUGGAUUAGUACGCCAUGUAGAGAAGGGGGUGGGGCAGGAAAGGGCCCAGGAGAAAAUCUUGUUCAUGUUCUUGCUGUAAAAGGAUGUCAGCAGAGUGAGGGUCUAAAAGGGCUGUUAGUAGGUUCUUACAUUCUAAAAUUACAGAGGGCAUGGCAAUAAUCCCAGUGUGGAAAACGUUAGAGAGACCUGCAAUUAGGAAUUCAACCAAAUGUGGGGAAGGGUGAUUGGACAAAACUUGAGCCAAAACAAUCACUUUAC